CUGAGCUCUUAGGAGAAUGAAAUCAUGUGAUUAUCCCCAGAAGAGGUACAGAACAAAUUGCGGCAGUGCAAGCUUCCCCACAUGACCCCCCACCAGUGUCCUCAGCCCUGACCUGAGGAAUGCUUUAAAGGGGUAAGAGGGCAGUUUACUCUCAUUGCCUUCUCUUUUUGGCUUUC
rnacentral:sRNA from 1 species